AGACACCUCACCUCACGCCAGGCUGCUGAGCUCAGCGGGGGGCACGAUUGCCCAAGCAGGGGUGGGGCAGGGCAAGGCAGACCCAGUCACAUGGUGGGAAAAGCCAAAAAAAACCUGCCUGAUUUGGUAAAAUGCCAGAACUGGGCAUUUUAAAGUUAGUUUUUAAGGCGUAGCCAUUUGUUGGGGGUUUUUUUGCCUUGUACUCUCCUGUCUCCCUCCUCGCCACACAAUAAACUGUCUCCAAGGCAGCCGCCCUCCCGUUGCCAGGACGUGCGAGGCAGGGAGGUCAGGAGCUCUGCUGUGAGGGCGCCACCCGGCUUCCGGUUUGUGCAUGAAAACCCGGCUCAGCUUUUCCGUUCCAUGAAGACUGGGCUUCUCCAGGCUGCUCGGUAAAUAAUCACGGAUUCCACUGGGAAGAGAAAACAUCCCCACAGCCCCUUCUCCAUUGUGCACCCAACCUCCAGGUGUUUUCAGUCUCUCAAAGAGCCCCGACGCCUGAAAUUUAACAACUAAAACCUUAUUUUUCAUUUCCUGAGAUUCUCUUGGUGGAAUCAGGCAGCCUGGCAGUGCGCAGCACCUAGGGUGGCUCAUGAUGAAAAAUCCAGAGGGGACUUUGCCUUCCUGCAUGUCCUUUUGUCACCAGAACCCGGGGACCAGCAGGACCCAAAGCUCCCUGCGGGAUCAGCUGGGUCUGGGAAUCACUGUCCUGGGCCCAUUUGGACUUUUCGGAUGAGGCCGGUGUUUGGCCAGCACCUGGGCUGGGCAGGUGGGAAGGACAGAGGCGCUGAUGGAGAGAGGGAGGGGAAGGGGAUUCACAGCCGUCCUGGGAGCCCCACGGGUGCCUUUGGCCUCUGGCUCCUCUGCCUGCCCCUCAGGCUGGUUAAAUUCCCCCCUGAAAGUUCCCCAUUGGGCAAGUCCAGCAAGCCUGAGCCAGGCCUGUGAUCUCAGGGUGGGUGGAGCUCUAGAAGGCCUGGCCCUCGCUCCUGGAGUCCACGUUCACCCUCAAGGCAGUGAACGGCACCCCACUGCGCAUCUACUCACUAACCAGGCACGGGAUGGUUUCCAUGGUUCCUGUGUCUUAGA
rnacentral:lncRNA from 1 species